GACGAACGCUGGCGGCGUGCUCAACACAUGCAAGUCGAGCGGAGCGGCGAACGGGGGAGUAACGCGUGAGUAACUGCCCCCCUCUCUGGGAAAACAGUUGGAAACGGCUGCUAAUACCGGAUAGUGGGGGAUGACUCGCGUCCUAUCAGCUUGAUGGUGGGGUAGUGGCCAACCAAGGCGACGACGGGGGGCCGGCCUGAGAGGGCGACCGGCCACAUUGGACUGGGGUACAGCCCAAGCUCCUACAGUGGGCAGCUGUGGGGAAUAUUGCACAACGGGGGGAGCCCUGAUGCAGCGACGCCGCGUGCGGGAUGACGGCCUUCGGGUUGUAAACCGCUUUCAGCCAUGACGCGGUAGUGGCAGAAGAAGCACCGGCUAACUACGUGCCAGCAGCCGCGGUAAUUC
rnacentral:rRNA from 1 species